rnacentral:lncRNA from 1 species
UGGAAUAACCUCUGUCAUUUGGAAAAAUAUCUCAAUGGUACCUCAUCUACAGAAAUCAUUGCUACAGGCCUUUGUAUUUAUUUAAUUCAGCACAUUUAUACCAGAAAAUACAAAUUCUAAUACCUGACAAUGUAUUUACUAGUAGGAAACUCAGUAAAAUCACAUAGCCAGGUAUCAGUUUCACUUAAUGGUACUUCACUCAGGGUUGUCAGAAGAAUUAAAUGAAAUAAUGUCUUAAAAAGAGUCUGGGCACCCAGUUGAUAAAUGCCACUUUCCCUUUCCUUGCCUUCUGUAUGUUUCUUUAGGCUCUGACUUACAGGUUUUUUGACUUUCAACUGGCAUUUAAAAAUUAUAUCUAAAUUAUUAAGUUUCUUAGUUGGUCACUUAAAAAUCAAAGUAGAAAAGGGAUUUGUGGACAGACAUGUCAACAACAAAAGGGACAGUGACAGCAAGGAAAC